GACGUAGGGCGCGAGCGUUGUCCGGAUUUAUUGGGCGUAAAGAGCUCGUAGGCGGUUUGUCGCGUCUGCUGUGAAAACCCGAGGCUCAACCUCGGGCCUGCAGUGGGUACGGGCAGACUAGAGUGCGGUAGGGGAGAUUGGAAUUCCUGGUGUAGCGGUGGAAUGCGCAGAUAUCAGGAGGAACACCAAUAGCGAAGGCAGCUCGCUGGGACGUUACUGACACUGGAGGCGCGAAAGCGUGGGGAGCGAACAGG
rnacentral:rRNA from 1 species